rnacentral:rRNA from 1 species
UACGUAGGGUGCUAGCGUUGUUCGGAAUCAUUGGGCGUAAAGCGCGUGUAGGUUGUUAGGUAAGUCUUGUGUGAAAUCCCUGGGCUCAACCGAGGAAGUGCAUGGGAAACUACCUAGCUAGAAGAUGGUAGAGGAAGGUGGAAUUCCUAGUGUAGAGGUGAAAUUCGUAGAUAUUAGGGGGAAUACCGGUGGCGAAGGCGGCCUUCUGGACCAUUCUUGACACUGAGACGCGAAAGCGUGGGUAGCAAACAGG